CCGUGGUCUUUUAUUUCGUUGGUUUCCAGGGGCCGCGGUAAUGACCGAUAGGAACAGUCGGGGGCAUUCGUAUUUCCCAGCUAGAGGUGAAAUUCUUGGAUUUGGGAAAGACGAACUUAUGCGAAAGCAUUUGCCAAGGAUGUUUUCAUUGAUCAAGAACGAAAGUUAGGGGAUCGAAGAUGAUUAGAUACCGUCGUAGUCUUAACCAUAAACGAUGCCGACUAGGGAUCGGGCAAUGUUGUUUUUUGACUUGCCCGGCACCUUCCGAGAAAUCAAAGUGUUUGGGUUCCGGGGGGAGUAUGGUCGCAAGGCUGAAACUUAAAGGAAUUGACGGAAGGGCACCACCAGGAGUGGAGCCUGCGGCUUAAUUUGACUCAACACGGGGAAACU
rnacentral:rRNA from 1 species